rnacentral:rRNA from 1 species
UGAGUACGAGAUGCUACGGCAUCGAAGCAGUCUAUGUCAUACUUCCAAGAAAAGCUUGCACUGUCAUAAACAAAGAAUGCCUGUACCAUAACCGACACAGGUGGGUAGGUAGAGUAUACUAAGGGGCGCGAGAUAACUCUCUCUAAGGAACUCGGCAAAAUGACUCCGUAACUUCGGGAGAAGGAGUGCCUUAUUUCUAAGGUUGCAAUAACAAGAUCCAAGCAACUGUUUACCAAAAACACAGGUCUCCGCUAAGUCGUAAGACGAUGUAUGGGGGCUGACGCCUGCCCAGUGCCAGAAGGUUAAAGAAGUUGGUUAGCAUUAGCGAAGCUGAUAACUGAAGCCCUGGUGAACGGCGGCCGUAACAAUAACGGUCCUAAGGUAGCGAAAUUCCUUGUCGGGUAAGUUCCGACCCGCACGAAAGGCGUAAUGAUUUGGAUACUGUCUCGGAGAGGGGCUCGGUGAAAUAGACUUGUCUGUGAAGAUGCGGACUACCUGCACCUGGACAGAAAGACCCUAUGAAGCUUUACUGUAACUUGAGAUUGAAAUUGGACUUUAUUUGCGCAGUAUAGGUGGGAGGCGUUGAGAAUAAUCAUGCGGGAUUGUUGGAGCCAUCAGUGAGAUACCACUCUUGUAAUGUUAGAUUUCUAACUUUGUAUCAUUAUCUGGUCAAAGAACAGUUUCAGGCGGGCAGUUUGACUGGGGCGGUCGCCUCCCAAAGGGUAACGGAGGCGCACAAAGGUUUCCUCUGAACGGGUAGAAAUCGUAUCUAGAGUGUAAAGGCAUAAGGAAGCUUGACUGUGAGACCUACAAGUCGAGCAGGGACGAAAGUCGGUCUUAGUGAUCUGACGGUGCUGAGUGGAAAGGCCGUCACUCAACGGAUAAAAGUUACUCUAGGAUAACAGGCUGAUCUCCCCCAAGAGUUCACAUCGACGGGGAGGUUUGGCACCUCGAUGUCGGCUCAUCGCAUCCUGGGGCGGUAGUCCGUCCCAAGGGUUGGGCUGUUCGCCCAUGAAAGCGGUACGCGAGCUGGGUUCAGAACGUCGUGAGACAGUUCGGUCCAUAUCCGGUGUAGGCGUUAGAAUAUUGAGAGGAGCCUUCUCUAGUACGAGAGGACCGAGAAGGACAUACCUCUGGUGUACCAGUUAUCGUGCCAACGGUAAGCGCUGGGUAGCUAUGUAUGGAGUGGAUAACCGCUGAAAGCAUCUAAGUGGGAAGCCCACCUCAAGAUAAGUAUUCUCAC